rnacentral:rRNA from 1 species
CCUACGGGAGGCAGCAGUAGGGAAUCGUCCGCAAUGGACGAAAGUCUGACGGAGCAACGCCGCGUGAACGAUGAAGGCCUUCGGGUCGUAAAGUUCUGUUGUUAGGGAAGAACAAGUGCUAGUUGAAUAAGCUGGCACCUUGACGGUACCUAACCAGAAAGCCACGGCUAACUACGUGCCAGCAGCCGCGGUAAUACGUAGGUGGCAAGCGUUGUCCGGAAUUAUUGGGCGUAAAGCGCGCGCAGGCGGUUUCUUAAGUCUGAUGUGAAAGCCCCCGGCUCAACCGGGGAGGGUCAUUGGAAACUGGGAAACUUGAGUGCAGAAGAGGAAAGUGGAAUUCCAAGUGUGGCGGUGAAAUGCGUAGAGAUUUGGAGGAACACCAGUGGCGAAGGCGACUUUCUGGUCUGUAACUGACGCUGAGGCGCGAAAGCGUGGGGAGCAAACAGGAUUAGAUACCCUGGUAGUCCACGCUGUAAACGAUGAGUGCUAAGUGUUAGAGGGUUUCCGCCCUUUAGUGCUGAAGUUAACGCAUUAAGCACUCCGCCUGGGGAUACGGUCGCAAGACUGAAACUUAAAUGAAAUUGACGG